UUGACGGGGCCCGCACAAGCGGUGGAGCAUGUGGUUUAAUUCGAUGCAACGCGAAGAACCUUACCUAGGCUUGACAUCCCUGGAAUUUUGUGGAAACACAAAAGUGCCUUUCGGGGAACCAGGAGACAGGUGCUGCAUGGCUGUCGUCAGCUCGUGUCGUGAAAUGUUGGGUUAAGUCCCGCAACGAGCGCAACCCUUAUCUUUAAUUGCCAGCAUUCAGUUGGGCACUUUAAAGAGACUGCCGGUGUUAAACCGGAGGAAGGUGGGAUGACGUCAAGUCCUCAUGGCCUUUAUGCUUAGGGCUACACACGUGCUACAAUGGGUGGUACAAAGAGAAGCCAACUCGCGAGAGCGCGCCAAUCUCAAAAAGCCAUCCUCAGUUCGGAUUGGAGUCUGCAACUCGACUCCAUGAAGUUGGAAUCGCUAGUAAUCGCGGAUCAGCAUGCCGCGGUCGAAUACGUUCCCGGGCCUU
rnacentral:rRNA from 1 species